rnacentral:rRNA from 1 species
AGUGAACGCUGGCGGUAGGCCUAACACAUGCAAGUCGAACGGCAGCACAGGAGAGCUUGCUCUCUGGGUGGCGAGUGGCGGACGGGUGAGGAAUACAUCGGAAUCUACUCUGUCGUGGGGGAUAACGUAGGGAAACUUACGCUAAUACCGCAUACAACCUACGGGUGAAAGCAGGGGAUCUUCGGACCUUGCGCGAUUGAAUGAGCCGAUGUCGGAUUAGCUAGUUGGCGGGGUAAAGGCCCACCAAGGCGACGAUCCGUAGCUGGUCUGAGAGGAUGAGCAGCCACACUGGAACUGAGACACGGUCCAGACGGCUACGGGAGGCAGCAGUGGGGAAUAUUGGACAAUGGGCGCAAGCCUGAUCCAGCCAUACCGCGUGGGUGAAGAAGGCCUUCGGGUUGUAAAGCCCUUUUGUUGGGAAAGAAAUCCAGCUGGCUAAUACCCGGUUGGGAUGACGGUACCCAAAGAAUAAGCACCGGCUAACUUCGUGCCAGCCGCCGCGGUAA